GUACAAUCGCCACAUCUUUACUGACAGGAACUUGAACAGCUUUUAUAUUAUUCUGUUCCAAUUCUUCUAAUAUAUUAUUAUUAUCAUUGUUAUCGAAGGUGGUGGUGGAUCUCCUCGCGAAGUCUCUUGACCCCAGACACUACCCCACCUUGGCCUGUUAAGUUCUCCUAUUCUACCAUCAGAUAAUCUCCUUGAUGGUGGUAAUGAACUCUCAGGUGUUGUUUGAUAAGGAUUUUGCCACAUCUUUUCGGCCAUUUCCGUUCCUGAUGGCUUGCAAUCAGGUGCCUCUACAGAAUCACUGGCAUAGCCGGAAGUCUCUCCUUCGCGUUCUUCAGCUUGCAGACCAUAACGAUUAUUUUUUGAAUUUUCACAACGAUCGUAUAGUCGUUGAGGUUUUUUGGAAUUGUAAUGCAAUCUUUCUAUAGCGAAAUCUCGUUGUUGAUCCUAGAAUACAAAAUAAUCAAUUUUUAUCGAUUCAACGAAAGCUAAAAAAAGAAAGAAAAGAGCUCGCGUGACAAAAGGGUAAUAUUCUAUUUUUGCAUCAAUUUGUAAAUCAUGUUUAACAUGUACAUUUAUUUAUACUGAAGAUUGGAUAUGAUUACUGUACCAGUAUGAGACAGGAACGAUAAAGCAGAACAGAAUUCUGUGUCGAUUUAUAAGAUUUAUAGUGCUUCUUAUUUAGAAAUGGAUUUCACAUUAAGAUGAACAAUUGUUUUGCCUUUAUUGAAUUUCAUUAUUUAAAAUAGACAAUCUUUUUAAAAGAAAAAGAAAGUAAAAUUUUUUUUAAUAUUUUAAAUAUAGUUAUAAUUUCUUUAUAAUUAUUAUAAUUAAUAAUUAAUUCUAAUUAAAAAUAUUACAAAUAUUUUGAUCAAAGUCUAUAAAUGUAGUCAAUAUAUUAAAUAUAAUUGCUUUGAUAUUA